rnacentral:rRNA from 1 species
CCUACGGGUGGCAGCAGUGAGGAAUAUUGGUCAAUGGGCGAGAGCCUGAACCAGCCAAGCCGCGUGAGGGAGUACUGCCCUAUGGGUUGUAAACCUCUUUUGUCGGGGAGCAAAAGCCGGACGUGUCCGGCUGUGAGAGUACCCGAAGAAAAAGCAUCGGCUAACUCCGUGCCAGCAGCCGCGGUAAUACGGAGGAUGCGAGCGUUAUCCGGAUUUAUUGGGGUUAAAGGGUGCGCAGGCGGAUUUUUAAGUCAGCGGUCAAAUCGUGGGGGUCAACCCCGUCCAGCCGUUGAAACUGGGGAUCUAGAGUGUGCGAGAGGUAUGCGGAAUGCGUGGUGUAGCGGUGAAAUGCAUAGAUAGCACGCAGAACCCCGAUUGCGAAGGCAGCAUACCGGUGCACAACUGACGCUGAGGCACGAAAGCGUGGGUAUCGAACAGGAUUAGAUACCCUGGUAGUC